CUACGGGCGGCUGCAGUGGGGAAUAUUGGACAAUGGGCGCAAGCCUGAUCCAGCAAUGCCGCGUGAGUGAAGACGGCCUUGGGGUUGUAAAACUCUUUCGCUAGGGAAGAUAAUGACUGUACCUAGUAAAGAAGUCCCGGCUAACUCCGUGCCAGCAGCCGCGGUAAUACGGAGGGGACUAGCGUUGUUCGGAAUUUCUGGGCGUAAAGAGUUCGUAGGCGGACUGACAAGUUAGAGGUGAAAUCCCAGGGCUCAACCCUGGAACUGCCUUUAAAACUGUCAGUCUAGAGACCGGAAGAGGUUAGGGGAAUACCUAGUGUAGAGGUGAAAUUCGUAGAUAUUAGGUGGAACACCAGUGGCGAAGGCGCCUAACUGGUCCGGUACUGACGCUGAGGAACGAAAGCGUGGGGAGCAAACAGGAUUAGAUACCCGCGUAGUC
rnacentral:rRNA from 1 species